UGCUUGGGAAUAUGCCUUUAGGUGGGGGACAACAGUUGGAAACGACUGCUAAUACCGCAUAAUGUCUACGGACCAAAGUGGGGGACCUUCGGGCCUCACGCCUAAAGAUUAGCCCAAGUGGGAUUAGCUAGUUGGUUGAGGUAAUGGCUCACCAAGGCAACGAUCCCUAGCUGGUUUGAGAGGAUGAUCAGCCACACUGGAACUGAGACACGGUCCAGGCUCCUACGGGAGGCAGCAGUAGGGAAUCAUCCGCAAUGGGCGAAAGCCUGACGGUGCAACGCCGCGUGAGUGAUGAAGGUU
rnacentral:rRNA from 1 species